AAGUGUAGCGGUGGAAUGCGUAGAUAUCUGAAAGAACACCAAAGGCGAAGGCAGUCUCCUGGGCAAAUACUGACGCUCAUAUGCGAAAGCGUGGGUAGCAAACAGGAUUAGAUACCCUGGUAGUCCACGCCGUAAACGAUGUCAAUUAGGAGCUUGAGCAAUAGUUUGGGUUCCGAAGCAAACGCAAUAAAUUGACCGCCUGGGGAGUACGGCCGCAAGGUUAAAACUCAAAUGAAUUGACGGGGGCCCGCACAAGCGGUGGAGCAUGUGGUUUAAUUCGACGCAACGCGAAGAACCUUACCUGAUCUUGACAUAGCAAGAACCUCUCUGAAGGGAGAGGGUGCCUUCGGGAAUUUGCAUACAGGUGCUGCAUGGCUGUCGUCAGCUCGUGUCGUGAGAUGUUGGGUUAAGUCCCGCAACGAGCGCAACCCUUGUCCUUUGUUGCCAGCGAUUAGGUCGGGAACUCAAAGGAGACUGCCAGUGACAAACUGGAGGAAGGCAGGGAUGACGUCAAGUCAUCAUGGCCCUUACGGUCAGGGCUACACACGUGCUACAAUGGGGCGUACAGAGGGAAACGAUACCGCGAGGUGGAGUGGAACCCACAAAGCGUCCCUAAGUUCGGAUUGGAGUCUGCAACUCGACUCCAUAAAGUCGGAAUCGCUAGUAAUCGCAAAUCAGAAUGUUGCGGUGAAUACGUUCCCGGGCCUUGUACACACCGCCCGUCACACCAUGGGAGUGGAUUGCACCAGAAGUAGCUAGCUUAACUUAAUUGAGGGCGGUUACCACGGUGUGGUUUAUGACUGGGGUGAAGUCGUAACAAGGUAACCGAAAGGGCGAAUUCGUAACNCGC
rnacentral:rRNA from 1 species